rnacentral:lncRNA from 1 species
AGCCACAGUUCUCUAUACAAUAACACAAGACCCUGUGACGGUGGCUGAUUAGAGACGGAUGGUGUAUUUCCAGAGUUGGUGAAAUGACCAAGCACACCUUCUUGGUCAUAUGUGGUGAUAAUAAUGAAGAUUAUAUUUGGACCUGAAACAUCUGCUAGACUCCAGGAUAGCUGGGAGAGUCAAGUUGUGGAUCAUCAUGAAGAUUUUCAAAAGUCAUGCUGGAGUCUUGAAGAGUUCUUAGAUGAGCAUCACCCUAUAUCCGUGCACCAGGAACCACCAGACGAGCGAUCAGCAGCUACUACAUUGUCAUGGAUAAAAAGGUCAUCCUGUGGCUGGGAAGCACUUCAUUCACAGGACAUGCUUGAUGAGAUUUCCUAGCUCCAGUUUGUUUUCACACAAGUUUACAGCAUUUAUACCUUCAUUUAAACUGCUGUGUUUGAUAUGGAGGACCAAGGAAACACCAGGGGCCUCAUGUACGAAGACUUGCGUGGAAAUCUUACUAAAACAUUGCGUACGCACGAAGCUGUAAAUGUGCUGACGAUAUAUUGAACUUUCAAAUUGCUCUGAUGAAACAUCAAGUUUGGACCAAAGGACUAAAACAGCCUUUUUGAGCACUGGUCAUACAUAUUUUGUUAAUACUGUUGAUACUAAUAAAACAUUUAAAGCAUAUUUGACAUUGUUGCAUUUUAAAAACUGAAUGAAUUGUUGAAGUGGUGAAUGUUUUCAAAUAAAAUGUUUUUUCUUUUGUAA